rnacentral:rRNA from 1 species
CCUACGGGUGGCAGCAGUCGAGAAUCAUUCACAAUGGGGGAAACCCUGAUGGUGCGACGCCGCGUGGGGGAAUGAAGGUCUUCGGAUUGUAAACCCCUGUCAUGUGGGAGCAAAUUAAAAAGCUAGUACCACAAGAGGAAGAGACGGCUAACUCUGUGCCAGCAGCCGCGGUAAUACAGAGGUCUCAAGCGUUGUUCGGAAUCACUGGGCGUAAAGCGUGCGUAGGCUGUUUCGUAAGGCGGGUGUGAAAGGCGCGGGCUCAACCCGCGGACGGCACAUGAUACUGCGAGACUAGAGUACAGGAGCGGGAACCGGAAUGGUCGGUGUAGCAGUGAAAUGCGUAGAGAUCG